GAGUUUGAUCGUGGCUCAGGACGAACGCUGGCGGCGUGCUUAACACAUGCAAGUCGAGCGGUAAGGCCUUUCGGGUACACGAGCGGCGAACGGGUGAGUAACACGUGGGUGAUCUGCCCUGCACUUCGGGAUAAGCCUGGGAAACUGGGUCUAAUACCGGAUAUGACCUCCUAUCGCAUGGUGGGUGGUGGAAAGAUUUAUCGGUGCAGGAUGGGCCCGCGGCCUAUCAGCUUGUUGGUGGGGUAAUGGCCUACCAAGGCGACGACGGGUAGCCGACCUGAGAGGGUGACCGGCCACACUGGGACUGAGACACGGCCCAGACUCCUACGGGAGGCAGCAGUGGGGAAUAUUGCACAAUGGGCGAAAGCCUGAUGCAGCGACGCCGCGUGAGGGAUGACGGCCUUCGGUUGUAACCUACUUCUAGCAGGACGAAGCGCAAGUGACGGUACCUGCAGAGAAGCACCGGCUAACUACGUGCCAGCCGCCGCCGU
rnacentral:rRNA from 1 species